rnacentral:lncRNA from 1 species
ACCAAUGGAAUAACACAUAAAGCUUAAUCAAAGCUUCUAAACAUAGCCAAUAACAUACUAAAUGACUCAUAAUUAUAAUAACUCAAUCAAUCUAACCAAUCUAUCAAUUUUACCGAAAAUGGAGAAAUGCUACCUUGUUGCGGAAAGGAUUAAUAUCAUAGUCAUACACCAUUACUAGCUUUCCUUCACACCCUCUUAGCUGCAAAACCGUCCAUCAUCAGAUCUUCAUUGAAUGUGAAGGGUAAUGUGUGACAACUAGAAAUUUCUAUUCUGUACAACAUUUCCAUUCAAUAGCAGUUAUAAGAGUUUCUAGAAACUUUCAAGCUUUUCGGAAUAAGUUUGAGUAUUUUAGGAUUAACAACUUAGGAGAUACAAGGAGAGAGGAUGCCCUAGGGUUUAUUGUGCAACAAUAAAGUCCCGACACAUCAAAAGUUUAGAGUUUACAGCCUAAACAAGGAGUUUACAGUCGUAAACCCUAAAGGGAAGUGGUAUAAAGGUGACACUUAGUUAUUUUUACCGUUUUUCCAACUUUCAAGAUCCAAAUCCCAAACUCUCUCAAGUAUCAUCCAAAGAAUCCUUCAAGAUCUUCAUCAAGUAAGUGUUUCUAGCCCUUUCAAGUUAGUAUAUCACUUAAUCUAGUGAUUUAACACACUUCUAUCCAUGAAAUCUUUCCAAAAGGUUGAAUCUUCAAGUUUUACCAAGAACACCAAGAACACACACUAGUGUUCUUGGCCUUUUGGUACCUUUUCAAGGUUCUAACUAGUAAGUACUCCUACCCAAGAAACACCAAGAUCAAGGAGUUUAUGGUCCAAGGUGUUCUUGGACUGUAAACCCUAAUUUAGGGGCCAAAGUGACUCUAGUCCCUUCACAAGCUUUGGAAACUAGUCUAGACUCAUUCCUUAAUAUGUUUAGGACUUGAAAACAUCAAAAUACCAUAAUCCAUAUGGGUUUACGGUACUAAACCCAAAAGGAAAUGGUCUUAGGGCCGUAAACUCCUCAAAGGAGGGAAAUGGUGCCCUAAUCUCUUCCAAAGGCUUAACCAUCAAAUAAAAAUGCUUCUAAAGGACUUGUAGGGCUUCAAAACAAAACAUGGUCAAAGGAGUAUGAGUUUACGACCGUAAACUCAAUGACUGAUGAACACAAAACCGUAAACUCGUUUAAGGUGGUUUCCUCGAACCCUAAGCUCAAUAGCAAUGUCCUACAACACUUAGAUGCAAUCCUAGGGACUUAUAACACUUAUAUAAAGUGUUUAGAAUGUACUAGGGUGUCUUAACUUUGUUGAUUAUUUGUUUAAAGACUAAUUGGAUACAUAUAUGUGUCAUUAUAUGUAACUAGGAUCAUUGAGUGUGUACAAGUCUUCACUUGACACCUAGCAAUCCAACAUCAUUCAGUUUAUCCAAACCACCAUCUACAGGUGAGUUCAUACCCCUUAAUCAAUGUUUUAAAUGAUUUUAAAUGCUUUAAUGGUGGGAUACAAGUAGAAAACAACAUGUUAUCGAAUCAAUCACAUGUGAUUUAUAACUGUGUUUUCAUCCAACUGAUUUCACAUACUUCAAAAUGUGAUACAUGAAAUGGUUUUCUGUCUUAAAAUACUUUGUUAUCAAAUGAAUUACUUUUGAAAUGUUUUAUAAAAUGACAUCAAGUCAUUGUUAUUUAUUGUUCAAAACUCUUAAAUGUUUUUCAAAACCUCUUUCAUCUUCUUGAUCAAAACAAUAUCUAUACACUUAUAUUCAUAUAUAUAUAUAUAUUGAUAUGAGAGCAUUCAUUCUUCGUUCAGUUCCCACACUCUUGGGUAGCAAGGGUGUAUAAACUUUCUUGGACAUCUAUUACAUUCCAGUAAACUAUUGUAGGGAUAGUUUAGGGGAUACAAAACAUUAUUCCUAUUACAAGGAAUUACACCGGAGUCAGUUCAUUCAUGAGUCUAUAAUAAAUGCUAUAUGAAGAGAUACACUUACAUGAAUCCUCUUACAUGGAUACACUUACAUGAAUCCUCUUACAUGGAUCCUCUUGCAUGGAUACACUUACAUGGAUACUUUUACCUAGAUACUAUAUGAUGAGAUACUAUUACAUAUUAUACAUGUAGAUUAGAUCUGUCUAUCCUAUUACAAAAGGAUACUUUACGGGACUAACCAUUCCUAUAACCUCUGUUAGCUAUAGAGGUAAAUGCACAUCUAUGGAUGUUUAUAGUUGAUACCAUUACAGGUAUACUUAAGGGAUUAACUAUUCCUAAACCAGGCUGUUAGCAAUAGAGGUAAAUGUACAUCUACGGAUGUCUACGGUUAAUACUAUUCGGCAUUUACUAUGUCGUGUUUAUCCUAGUACUCAAGGAUAAUACUUAAAUGUUUAUAUUUUCCCUAUUAGUUUUAUUUUGUGAUACGUUCACAUAAACGAUGAGGUAGACUAUAUAUUGUUAAUAGUAGUCAUAUAGGGGAAAAACCAUCUUUGUUACAGCAAAACAUUCAGGUCUUGGUAGAAGACUACUUUCAAAACAUUUGGGUCUUGGUAGAAGACUACUUUUAUACUAGUAGGAAAUAUGGGAUUUUCUAGGGUUUUUACACUAAUAUCAAAUGUUUCAUUCAAAGAUUUACAUGGCAUUCAUAACAGCUUUCCAAAAUAGAGUAAUGACACUUAAAUACUUAUGAAUUCACCAACUUUAGGUUGAUCUACUCUCUUUCAAAAUAACUUGUAUUCUCAGGUCACUAGUAGAUAGGUACGAUGACCAGGUUUUGAGAAGACGGAGCAUAGACAAGACUCGUCUUUCAUUUUGAUUACAUAUUUUGGUGUCUUAUUACUAUGAAAGAACACACAUGUAUUAAAACUUUACUUUUAAUGCAAUGGAUGUUGUUGUUGCUUAUUUACUACUUUUUACUUUUAUGAUACUUCACAUGACGUCCUCCACCCCUGAACGUUUCUGCCGUUCUUGGUUUUGGGGUGUGACGAAUUGGUAUCAGAGCAUUGUUUAUAGUGAAUAUAGUAUAUCAAACCAUAAAAGAUAUACUAAAUAUAAAUAAAUUGGGAUUAAAACACUUUGAGUAAGAGUUUAUACUUUUAAAUAAUAAAAUAUUUAAGUAAGUAUACGUGCCUACAUUCAUACUAAAAUCAGUGUCGCAAUGACAAGAACAAAAGUAUUACGAUUGUUGAAUAUCACAAGUAAGCGUGGGGAUAUAUGGUUAGUCGUGGGAGUGGCAUAGCCUGAUCAACUAUGUUGGUCCGAGGAGUGAUUAGCAUAUGCCCAAGAAUGGUUGUGAUGUGGCAACAAGUCUAAAACCUUACCAACACAACCACAAAGAAAUACCAUAGGGGUAUUUGGUCUUACUGUAAUUACUUAUUUGAGAACUAAAUAGAUUUUUAUUAAUAUGUCAAUAGUUGUUUAGUGGAUACACUAAGGUUAUAUGUACUAGGAUGUCAUAGACUUAGAAUUUGUGAAUCAUUGCUUUAUGUCUUGUCCUCGUUGGGUUGGGGGCUUAGGGUUAAGGUCACUUAUUUGAAGGUCUAUCCUAUCCUAACUACAUAUAAACGGGUAUGCACUAAACAAGUAUUGAAGUAACUGAUAAAGAUCAUCUUAUAAUUAUCUUAGUUAGUUCGUCUAUUUAGUUAUUUCUUAUAUCCCUUUUCUUGCAUAGAUAUCAUGGCUGGAAUCUAUCCCCACGGCGACCCGUACUUCACAAACCAAGGCAAUGCUGGAUGGCUAGAGGAAGAACCAGAAGAUGAUCACCCAAUCCCUUUGGAUGAUCACCAUGCUAAAGGCUUUUCUGAUAGUUCUGACUCGGAGCCUGAAGUCAACAACCUACCUCCAGCUGCUCAAAACCCAAACCCUCGCCCAACAUUUCAAGGACCCACGCCCCUGUGGGCCACAAACUUGAAUAGAUGGAGCCAUGAACAGGGUCAACCUAUCCCCUUCAACAGAGACAGAAGCUUCUAUAACCUCACCGAAGGACGUUCAGCUGAUCGGGUCCUACCCAUCAUGGUUCAUAGGAUAUCUCAAAAUGACAUACAAGGUCGAGCAGCUAUCAAUUGAGUCGUGGAGAUUGACGCCAACUCUGGCAUUAACACGGUACGCAUUCGCCAACUAGAGUCUGCUCAUGAAAGGACUCUAGUCCAAAAUGCAGAACUGCAGAGAGAACUUGCUGAAACCCAAGCUGAAGUCAGGGAACUUCGAGCUCAGCAAGCAAGAUCUGACAGGCGUAUGAGGGACAUAGAACGCCUUGCUGUCAGAAUCAAGAACUCAUGCUAGUAGUUCUCGUCGCCGAUAGAAUCUCAUCGACUUCACUUUUGGAUAUAACCUAGUUAUGUAAAACUCUGGUCUAUUUUCCUAUCUUUGUAAAUCUUAGACCUGUUAGGUCUUGGUUAGGUUGUAAUCCUGUCAAAAUUUUCCCAUCUUGGUUGAUGUAAGGCCUACUUUUAGGCCACUUUUCCCGAACUUUUAAUUCCAGUACUUUUGAUAGAUAUUUAAUCAUAUGGAGAUUAUUGUCCAAAUGCUUUCACCUUUCGAUACUAGAUCCUCAUUCAAAUGUGCUAUUCAAUUGUGAUGUUGGACUAUGGAGAGUUAGUCCAUGAGUCACUCUCAUUAUUCAUUCAUUCUUAUCGUGUUGCCAUCUUUUAAACAUAUAGUUAAAAGAUGCCGCCUCGCAGAAAUCCAAGGCAUAGCCCUAAUAACGAAACACCGAUACCACCACCUCAACCACCUCCUCAUUUCGACGCUGCUAUGUUCCAGGCAGCCUUCACGGCAGCCGUAGCANNNNNNNNNNNNNNCCGUGUCAGCUCAAUACUCCUGUCCCUAGUGGAUCGGGAACGGGUGCACCUCCUUCUCACCAUGGCGAGAGCCAUGGGCAUCCCCAUGAAUGCACCUACAAGGAUUUUAUGAAUGCCAAACCCCGAAACUUCAAUGGAAUUGGUGGGGUUAUGGUCUUAAGGCAGUGGAUUGAAAAGAUAGAAGUAGUCUUUGAGAUCUGCGCCUGCCCGGAGGGCAACAAGGUCAAGUUUGCCACUUGUACCUUUUCCGACAGAGAGUUAACUUGGUAGAAUGGCCAUGUUAAGUCUCUGACUAUUGUGGUGGCAAAUUCUAUCAGCUGGGAAAACUUGAAAGCCAUGCUGACGAGAGAGUACUGUCCUCGAGGGGAAAUUCAAAAACUCGAGCAGGAACUCUAGGGUCUGGAAAUGGUUGGUUCCGGCAUAUCAACCUACACGAAUAGAUUCUGUGAUCUGGAAAUCCUAUGCCCUGACAUGGUUGCUCUUGAGAGAAAGAGAAUAGAGAGAUAUAUUUGGGGACUGUCGCCCCAGAUCCAUUCAAGUAUGUUAGCAUCCAGGCCUGUUACUUUUAACAGUGCCAAAGAGCUAGCACAAUCUCUCAUAGAUCACGAGAAACACCAGAACCCAACAAUCCUUACACCCGGGCCACAAAAGGACAACAACAAAAACAAGAAGAAGAAAAAGGUGUGGGGCAAGAGGAAAAGCGGGGCUUCGCAAGAAUUCUCAAAGAGACAACAACUAGUGGCAAUCAAUGUUGCCACGAUAACCCCUGUUGUCCCUGCAAAUCCCUUACAAGCAAAAACUUAUGCUGGAAAUCUUCCGAGAUGCAACAAAUGCUACUUCCAUCACCACGGACCUUUCAAGGAAAUGAAGUGAUCUAACUGCAACAGAAAGGGGCAUAAAGUCCAUUUCUACAAAAUUCUAGCAAGGCCGACCACCCAAGUUCCUAACGGCGGUGUGGGCCAAGCUUGCUAUGGUUGUGGCGAGGUAGGUCACUACAAGAGGGACUGCCCUAAGGCGGAGAUGACUGGCGAAGUAGGAAGAGUUCUGGCCAUAGGCCACGAGGAAGCCGUAGCUGAUUCUAUAAUGGUUACUGGUACGUUUCUCCUCGAUAACUCAUAUACUUGCACACUUUUCGACAGUGGAGGAGAGAAAAGUUUUGUAAGCCAUAAAUUUGCGCACCUACUUAAACAAAAAUAGCGUGCAUUAGAUAAAUCAUUCACGGUAGAAAUGGAAAACGGGAAAAUGGAAAGUACUAACUGCAUAUACGUAGGUUGUACCCUAACUUUAUAUAGCCAUUCAUUUUCGAUUGAUCUCAUGCCGGUCCCAAUUAAAAGUUUCGAUGUCAUUAUUGGCAUAGAUUGGUUAAGUCUUCUUCACGCCGACAUCAUGUUCUUUGAAAAAGCAGUUCGUCUUAACUUCCCUAACAACGAAACCCUAGUUAUCUACGGCGAUAAACCUAGUAUGAGCCUUCACAUCAUUUCGUGCAUCCAAGCCCAAAAGUGCUUACGAAAGGAAUAUCAUGCAUUCCUCGCACACAUCGUCGAUAUGAGUCAAGAAGUAAAAGACAUUCAGAACAUCCCAGAGGUACGCGACUUUCCUGACAUCUUUCCAGAGGAACUCCCAGGAUUACCACCAUAACGCCAAGUCGAGUUCAGAAUCGACUUAGUGCCAGGGGCUACUCUCGUAGCCAAAUCUCCUUAUCGUCUGGCACUGACAGAGAUGCAGGAACUUUCCAGUCAGCUUAACGAACUUCUCAGGAAGGGAUUCAUUAGGCCAAGCUUCUCCCCAUGGGGAGCACAGGUCUUGUUCGUCAAGAAGAAAGACGGAUCGUUUCGCAUGUGCAUCGACUACAGGGAACUCAACAAACUUACCAUAAAGAAUCGUUAUACCUUACCCCGCAUUGACGAUUUAUUUGAUCAAAUUCAAGGAGCCAAUUACUUCUCGAAGAUAGAUCUACGAUCCGAAUAUCACCAACUACGAGUGUUAGAGGAGGAUGUUCCCAAGACAGCCUUCCGAACUCGUUAUGGGCACUACGAUUUCGUAGUGAUGCCGUUCGGAUUAACAAACGCGCCCGCGGUAUUCAUGGAUUUAAUGAAUAGUGUGUCGUCCUUACUUAGAUCAGUUCGUCAUCGUCUUCAUCGAUGACGUACUCAUCUACUCUCGAAGUAAGGAAGAUCAUAGUCAACAUCUCCGCAGAGUCUUAGAAACAUUAUGAUCGGAGAAGCUCUAUGCGAAGUUCUCUAAGUGCGAAUUUUGGAUCCGACGAGUCGAAUUCUUGGGCCACGUUGUUAGCGAAGAGGGAAUACACGUGGACCCUUCCAAAAUCAAGGCCAUUGAGAACUGGUCAGCACCGAAGACACCUACAGAAAUUCGUCAAUUUCUAGGUCUCGCUGGCUACUAUCGCAGGUUCAUUCAGAACUUCUCCCGCAUAGAGAAACCUCUUACGACACUUACCCAGAAAGGCGUGGCCUUUAACUGGGAAGAGACACAGGAGAGAGCAUUCCAAACGCUUAAGCGAGCCUUGUACACCGCACCAAUACUAUCCCCCCCGAAGGGAUAAAAGACUUCAUUGUCUAUUGCGAUGCAUCAAACCAAGGACUCGGAUGUGUUCUGAUGCAGCGAGGUAAGGUCAUCGCCUAUGCCUCGAGACAGCUGAAGGCACAUGAGGUUAACUACACCACCCACGAUCUUGAACUAGGAGCAGUUGUGUUUGCUCUGAAGAUCUGGAGACACUACCUGUAUGGUACAAAAAGUACGAUCUUUACAGACCACAAAAGUCUACAACAUAUAUUCGACCAGAAGGAGCUCAACAUGAGACAACAACGGUGGGUCGAGCUACUCAGUGAUUAUGAAUGCGAAAUUCGUUAUCACCCGGGUAAAGCCAAUGUAGUAGCUGACUCCCUAAGUCGGAAGGAAUACUCUAGUCGUAGAGUCAAAUCUUUGACUCUAACUAUCCAUUCAAACUUGUCCACGCAAAUUAAGGAGGAUCACCUCAACGCUUUAAAACCUGAAAAUGUGGCAGGUGAAUCCCUGAGAGGGAUGGAUAAAAAUUUAGAAGUCAAGGGUGGCGGAGCCCUUUACCUCAUGGAUCGGAUCUGGACACUGAAACACAGUGGCUUUAGAGACUUGGUCAUGACCGAGGCACACAACACUCGUUAUUCCGUCCACCCAGGUUCAAAUAAGAUGUAUCUGGAUCUUAGAAAGCUAUGCUGGUGGCCUAACAUGAAAGCAGAUAUUGCUACCUUCGUAAGUAAAUGCCUUACUUGCGCUAAGGUCAAUGUCGAAUACCAGAAACCCUCCAGUCUUCUGCAACAACCGGAGAUACCGGAAUGGAAGUGGGAGCGGAUCACUAUGGACUUCAUAACCAAGUUGCCCAAGACGACGGGUGGACUUGAUUCCAUAUGGGUCAUCGUCGAUAGACUGACCAAGUCUGCACACUUCNUACCCAUCAAAGAAAUCGACAAAAUGGAGAAACUUACGAGAACCUACAUUAGGGAGAUUGUACGACUGCACCGUGUUCCCAUAUCCAUUAUCUCAGACACAGAUAUUAGAUUCACUUCUAGGUUCUGGCAGUCGCUACAAAGUUCCCUAGGAACUAGGCUGGACAUGAGUACAGCCUACCAUCCAUAGACCGACGGACAAAGUGAGAGAACUAUCCAAACCUUAGAAGAAAUGUUGUGGGCCUAUGUGAUUGACUUUGGAAAGCUUGGGAUACUCAUUUACCCCUUGUCGAAUUUUCCUACAAGAACAAUUAUCACACGAGCAUAAAGGCAGCUCCUUUCGAAGCCCUCUAUGGCCGAAAGUGCAGAUCCCCUCUGUGCUGGGCUGAGGUGGGUGAUACCCAAUUAGCUAAGGGACGAGUUCCCGAAAGCAAUCUCACAAGUCUGGAGAUCAUUCGGGAAACGACAAAGAAGAUCGUUCAAAUUCGUGAACGAUUGAAAGCCUCUAGAGACCGACAGAAAAGCUACACUGACAAGCGAAGGAAACCAUUGGAAUUCCAGGUGGGCGACCGUGUUCUACUGAAGGUCUCACCCUGGAAGGGAUUGAUACACUUCGGAAAGCAUGGGAAGCUCAAUCCAGUAUACAUAGGGGCUUUUGAGAUUCUCGCAAGAAUCGGACAUGUAGAUUACAAACUUAACUUACCUCGCGAACUCAGUAACGUGCAUUCUACCUUCCACGUCUUGAACUUGAAAAAGUGUCUGUCCGACAAAACUCUUGUUAUCCCACUCAACGAGAGCCUUAACUUCGUGGAAGAACUCGUAGAGAUCAUAGACCGAGAGGUCAAGCAAACGAAACAAAGCCGUAUCUCGAUAGUGAAGGUUCGCUGGAACGCCAAGCGAGGACCGGAAUUCACUUAGGAGCGAGAGGAUCAGAUGAAACUGAAAUGCCCUCAUCUUUUUGCUUAGUUAUUUGUAACUACCUAUUUGCUUAAAUUCUAAUUUCGGGACGAAAUUCCUUCUAAGGAGGGGAUGAUGUAACAACCCGAAAUUUCUGUUUUGUACAACAUUUCCAUUCAAUAGAAGUCAGAAUAGUUUCUGGAAACUUUCAAGCUUUUUGGAAUAAGUUUGAGUAUUUUAGGAUUAACAACUUACGAGAUACCAGGAGAGAGGAUUCCCUAGGGUUUAUUGUGCAACAAUAAAGUCCCAAAACAUCAAAAGUUUAGAGUUUACAACCUAAACAAGGAGUUUACGGUCGUAAACCCUAAAAGGAAGUGGUAUAAAGGUGACACUUAGUUAUUUUUACCAUUUUUCCAACUUUCAAGAUCCAAAUCUCAAACUCUCUCAAGUAUCAUCCAAAGAAUCCUUCAAGAUCUUCAUCUAGUAAGUGUUUUAAUCCCUUUCAAGUUAGUAUAUCACUUAAUCUAGUGAUUUAACACACUUCUAUCCAUGAAAUCUUUCCAAAAGGUUGAAUCUUCAAGUUUCAGCAAGAACACCAAGAACACACACUAGUGUUCUUGGCCUUUUGGUACCUUUUCAAGGUUGUAACUAGUAAGUACUCCUACCCUAGUGUAUUGUAAAGCUUGUUACACUUCAUUACAUCAAGAAAAACACC